rnacentral:rRNA from 1 species
UACGAAGGGGGCAAGCGUUGUUCGGAAUUAUUGGGCGUAAAGGGCGCGUAGGCGGUUUGUUGCGUCGGCUGUGAAAUCCCGAGGCUCAACCUCGGGUCGUGCAGUCGAUACGAGCAAACUAGAGUGUUGCAGGGGAGACUGGAAUUCCUGGUGUAGCGGUGAAAUGCGCAGAUAUCAGGAGGAACACCGGUGGCGAAGGCGGGUCUCUGGGCAACAACUGACGCUGAGGCGCGAAAGCGUGGGGAGCAAACAGG